rnacentral:lncRNA from 12 species
CUGGGAAUUUACUUGCCAAGGUCACUAGCUAUUAAGAGGUGGUAUUGUCAGUUGAACUGGGAUGUCCUAGGUGGAAACUGACUCUCAGAUGGAGAGUUGUGCCCACGAAGUUCAUUGUGAAGUGCUUUCAGGAUUAACACCUGGGCAGGAAACAAGAACUCUGGUUCAGCUAGAAGAAGUCAAAGACAUAGUUUCAACAAAAGACUUCAGCCAAUCCCACAAAGAGCUUUGGAGCUGAGAAGACCCUUUGGAAUAAUCCCAUCUUGAGGCCAACCAUUUCAGAGUCCUACAGAAAGGGUGAGUCUCCUAGAAUGAAAGUGGGCUCUCUUGGGGAACAGGUAUGACCUUGGAUGAGGUGGUUCUCUUCAAACUGAUGCCAAUUUCUGCAGAAGGUCUCGGACAGCCAUCAGCUUUUAACACUCCCAGCGGCAGGGGGAGGGUGGGAAAUGAGGGUUUGAGGCCUGAAGUGGACACGUUGGUGGCCACUAUUGUCCUACCUUUGGACUGCUCAGAUCCACUUUCUUCAUAUAAGAAGUUCUGUGAGUUCUUUUUUUUUUUUUUUUUUUCUUUUUUUAAAAUCUAAGUAUAGUUGACAAGAGUGAUAAAUUUUAAAACUAUGCCAAACACUAGUAGUCCCCCUGAAUGCUCUUGUGAUGGACAGGGCAGAGCUGGGAUGUUAGGACACAAUCUAAUUCUGUUCUACCCUGAAGCCAUGUCUUUCCACUAGACUGAAGAGCUAGUCAAACUAGUGCUCUGUGGGCUAAAUUCAGAUAUCAAAUGUAUUUUGUUUGGCCACACAAUGUUUUAAAAAAUGUGAAUUGGCUGCCACUAUAUAAAAAUUGGAAGAGUUUAUAUCUAAGUUCAGAUUUCCACCUUCUAUUGAGUAACAGGAAGAUCUAGAAAUACUGUGUCAAUAUUCCUGCAUGGCAGUAAUUGAAUGAAGCUGAGUGAUAGCUGCCCCUUUAACUGGGUGGGGCAAGGGGAAUGUGCCCCUUAGUUCACCACAGUCUCUAUGCAUUACCCUCUUUGGCAUUUUUGUUUUGAAUUCCUGCUGUACUAUGCACUGCCUGACACGGUGCAUGGUAUAUCUAAUAGGUGCUUGGGUGCUUAAUAUUAGUUCAGCGGAACUGAAUGAAUUUUUUUUGGAGAGGAAGUGGGAGUGAAUUCUAGUGUUAACACUCCAAGUGUUAUGAGAGGCUUGGCAGUCAGUGGGGGCAACAGGACAGGAAGUGCAGAUUAGGAUGAAUUAGUGAAUUAAUGUUGGCUGGAGCCUGAGUAAAGCAAGAACAGCAGAGGGCCAAGGCUUGAAGUUUGAGUGUUCUUACCCUAGAGUUAGAGAGGAAUGGGGAGUCAGGGGAACCAGAGGAAAGGAAAGAAAAGCACAAAGGGACCUCAGGAAUGGAAUGCCACUGGAGCCAAGGGAGCUGAGGGCUUAGACAUUUGCAUCCAGGCUAGCUAAGAUGAGGGGAAUAGACAGACAAAGAGCCAUGGCAACAAGAAAGCAAUUAGGAACUUUCAGAGGAAGCAUGAGAAAAGGAAAGGAAAAUUGUGGGCCUGGAGGUUUAGCAGUGAAGCAGAGGCAUUGGGAUCCUCUCUGGAGGUAUGAGGGAGAGCAUUUUCUGGGGUCUUAGCUGGGAAAGGCAUAGAUGAAUAUUCAUUUAAUGUUUAUCCUUCAACAUUUUCACCCUCAUUUGACAUCCUCUAAAAUAAAUUAGUUGGUAUUCAUGUUGCA